UACGUAGGGAGCGAGCGUUGUCCGGAAUUACUGGGUGUAAAGGGAGCGUAGGCUGGAAGACAAGUUGAAUGUUAAAUCUAUCGGCUCAACCGGUAGCCGCGUUCAAAACUGUUUUUCUUGAGUGAAGUAGAGGUUGGCGGAAUUCCUAGUGUAGCGGUGAAAUGCGUAGAUAUUAGGAGGAACACCAGUGGCGAAGGCGGCCGACUGGGCUUUUACUGACGCUGAGGCUCGAAAGCGUGGGGAGCAAACAGGAUUAGAUACCCUGGUAGUCCCUGAGCGGG
rnacentral:rRNA from 1 species